AGGUCGAGCAGCACACGCUUAGUGUGUGUUUUCUCUCUCCCUCUCCUCUGAGAGUUGGAUCUUUUUUGAAGGUGAUCUGAGGUAGCGUCGUCUCUGGUGCUUGCAGCUUGUGUACCCUCUCCAGCUGGACCCCCAGGGGUCUGAAACCAACCCAGCGCCAGCUCCUGAUCCGGCCCUGGGCAUUUUUUUCCCCUAAAGCCACCAGAUGAACAUUUUCCUGCACUGUCAUUUAAAAUACAGGAAGCUACGGCGUCAUGAAAAGAUCAUACACCAAUAGGAUGUCAGAGAAUUGUCAUGUGGUGGUGGGACGGAGACGCACGCCUCUGUAUGCCAGAACCACAGAAGCACCAAGCAGGAAAAUGAAAGGGAAAAAGAGAAUCUACAUCCUCACAGCUUCCUGUUUCCUGCAUGACACUUCCUGUUUCAUUGUCAACAGAAAAUCUCAAUGUGUGUGUAAAAAGAAAGGGAUGGCAUUGAAAAAGUGAGAGUGAAACUGAUGGAAGCUUUCAUGAAUUAAAAUGCUCAGCAUUGUGAUCCAGAUGUUAGAAAUGAAGAUCUUUCAGGAUAAAGUUCAAACAUUUCACACACAAUGAAUCGUUGUUAACUAACUAAUAUCACACACAUGUAUGUUUCUGUCAGAGGAGGAGGGGCUCUCACGGUGACUUCUGAGUUGCUCAGUGGUGUUCCCUGGGAAGCUUCUUCUCAACAAUAUACAUUGAGGCGUUUAAAUGAAACUGAUUUAAAAGCGUUUUAAAAGGAUGUCAAGGAGUGAUAUUUGUGAGAUGAAAUAGAGAAAGGGCUGGAGGAGUGACCGGCUCUCUGUGGAGCUCUCGCCAGAUGUUUCCACACUCAGCUCUUCCGCUAGAUCAUUCUCAGCACUUCCUCUUCAUGCGGGUGCACAAAACCCUGCUUCACUCGGCAAUGAAAACAUAGCGCACACGCACGCACACGGGUUUCAGAGUUUGCUGCUCUCACUGAGACAGACUCUAUAAGUUGAUAUAAGUCCCACCAAAGAGCAGAAAAAAGAGGCGGUCUAUAAUUAAACUGAGCAUUAUAACACACCACUCUUUCAAGCAAGACAAUUAAUCACAGCACAUGUGAAAGAACCAGUGUUGUCAGAAAAAAAAUCACCAUACACCACCACCAACUGUCCAUAAUGUUUUCAGAUCCAUUGACAUCUAAAUAUAUAAUCCCAUUCAAUUAUGUUUGUCUUAAAAUAUAUUACAUAUAUACAGUAUAUAUAUAUCCUUUCAUUUAGGGUCUUUCCAUAAUCACUCACAUAACAUCUCACACUUACUGCUGUUCAUCCCUGUACUUUACUUAAUGAUUUCACUUUGCUCUACGCUACAUGACAUCAUAGUUUUUGUUUUUUUCUUUGAAUACACACUUGCACUUGUAUCCAGUCCAGCUGCAAAUGCUUUGACAAUAAAACUGGACAGUUCUUUCAUUCCAAUAAAGACACUUUGCGUUGAAACACUGAUAGACUGUAGACAGACAGAUAUAUUAUUUCAGUGGAGCAGGUUACAGUUUACACAGAUUUUUAAUACAGUUUUCUUAUCUUUACAGUUUUUGCCCAUUGCUUACACACUAAAACCGAAUGCUUAGACCAAAGUCUCAAUAACUAAACUUCAUGUAGCAUACCUUAAACACAGUGUAACCAUAGCUUAAACGCAUGGUCAACUUUGAACUUUGUUUGCAAUUCUCUAACACACUUAUUGCGAAACACUACACACAUUUUCAUACAUUAGACACUUUGUUCAAAAACGAAAGCACCUGUUAUCAUUGGGAAAACACUCUGUUCAAAAUGUAAAACUCAUCUGACAAUUGUGGGCACUUACAUACACACCUGAAAACACUUGCACAGAAAACAGAACACCAAUCGGUCUGAGCCUUAGCACUACAAAUAGGCCUCAGGUAAGCCCUUUUGAGAACUUUGCAAGCAUGGAGGUAAUGAGAGUCAGAGGACGACAAAGAGAGAGAGGAGUCGGACGUGGACCAGUGCGGAGACGUGUAUCAGAUGACAUCAGGGCUACUCUGGUGGACCAUGUGAUAAAUCAUGGCCUGUCCAUGAGGGCCUAACCUCAGUCGCUACACAGUAGCAUCCAUAAUAAGGACAUUCCGACUGGAGAACAGGUAUAUCUUCAAGUUUCUACUCCAGACUGUACCUACUGUAUGUGUCACAGGAUUCUGAUUCAUAUUACAGUGUUACUGUACUAACUGUACUAUACAAAAAUGGGUAUAUGUAAAGGAAUACCAUUGUGAUGUUACAGUACUGUGUACAGUUUGAAAGUACAGUAUGUGAAAAAGAACCUAACCAAUGACAUCUUGUGGUGGCAUUUUCUACAGAAUGGUUGGACGACCUCAUCAAGGUGCAAGGGAACGGCUCUUCACUCAACAACAAGAGCUUGCCAUCAUUGAAAUGACAGUUCUGGAUUUUUAUGCUGCCGAACUGCCACGAGUUCAUCUACAUGGAUGAGGCAGGCUUCAAUCUGGCCAAAACCAGGCGUCGGGCCAUAACGUAGUUGGACAAAGGGCUGUUGUAAAUGUCCCUGGGCAGCGUGGGGGAAACAUCACCUUGUGUGCUGCAAUUAGUGUCCAAGGAGUCCUGCAUUACCAUGUCACUCUUGGUCCCCACAAUACAGGACAGAUCAUUGUAUUUUUAGAUGCACUACAUGCAGCUGUGCAGGACAGACCACAGCAGCCCAGGUUUGUUGUCAUCUGGGAUAAUGUUAGUUUCCACCGGGCUGCUCUGGUCCAAGAUUGGUUCAACAACCAUAACCAUUUCACACUUUUAUACUUGCCCCCUUAAAUCCCGUUUCUAAAUGCAAUCGAGGAAUUCUUUUCAGCGUGGCGGUGGAAAGUGUAUGAUCGGUAACCACAUGAAUGAUUUCCAGCUUCCGCUGAAGAGGAGGCACCGAUCGCAGCUGAAGCAUAGACUACAAAGACCGCGAUCAGUUCCGGUAGCCGCGUCAGAGCCGUAACGUGCUGCAGAUGCGUGUGGUGUAAACGAGGGGUAAGGCUUCGGUUAAAAACGGCAGGUGUUAGGCAUGCAGAGGAAGUUUCAAUUUGAGCGAGCGUGGAGCAAUUUCAACGGAGCGGGAUGAAAUUGUAGGUGAGCGGGGAGCGAAAUUGAGCGGUGGCAGCGAACACCCACGUGAGCGGGGAGCGGAAAUUCUCACCGCUCAGCUCCACUCACAUGCUCUGGGUGGGAUCAAUCCAAGGGUGGAUUCGGUACACAAGGCGAUAUUUUCCCCGAUGCCUAGCCCGCGAGGACAACGCCUGUGAUGUUGACGAGGUCUUGUGGCCAGAUCCGAACAGAAGGCGGGAUCCAUAAGCCCCCCCAGCCUCCCAUCACACACAUACAUGCACACACACAAAACAAGUAUAUGUAUUUUUUUGAUGAUUUGUGAUUCUAUUUUUCUUUAUUUCUGUAAGAAUGUUUGUUUUUUGUAAAAACUCUUGUUUGAUUACUGCAAAAAUUCUACUUUUGAGUUUUACAGAAGACUGAGUCUGAGAAAAUGACAAUAAAAAUAUUUUAUAUACAGUUUACAGUAUAUACAGUAAAGCCCAUCCGUGUGUUGCUGGUUAUAUGAAAGAGUAAUUCAAAUGGUGCUUGUGUAUAUGGUUUUGUUGCAAGAAUUUCAUUUUUAGAAAGGAGUGUUAAGUUUUGAUUGCAGUGUUUCAUUUUGGCAUAGAUGUGAGUUGUUAAUUUCCAAGUGCUAUGUCUGAUUGGCUUGUGUGUAGAGUUUUGACAUAAUGAGCCAAAUUCUGCAAAAAGUGUGUAAGCAAUAGACAAAAACUGUAAUAGAAGUUGUUUUGUGAAUGUUAUUGUCAGAUUGUGGCUAAAAGAGAGUGUAAUAGAAAGAGAGACUGAGACAGAGAGAAGACGUUUGCUGUCUCAUCAGUGGAGAGAUGUAAUUGUGAGUUUGCGGCAGCAGGUAAAUACAAACAUUAUGAGAGAAAGACAGACAGAGAAUGUGAUGUAUGGAUGUGUGAAGUGCAGUGUGAUUUUGUAUGUUUUGAGCUAACAGGUGUUUACAGUAAACAGACACAGAUGACACUCUUCAUUGUGAGCAUCAUAUAAAAGCCUCCUUUAAAAAACAUUACCACUAAAUAUUUCAACUUUUAAAGCUUUUUUGAGGAAAACAGCUUGGUUUGUGUGCUUUGAA